rnacentral:rRNA from 1 species
GACGUAGGUGGCAAGCGUUGUCCGGAAUCACUGGGCGUAAAGCGCGCGCAGGCGGCGAUCUACGUCUGGGGUGAAAGCCCGGAGCUCAACUCCGGGACUGCCUUGGAUACGGGAUCGCUUGAGGAUUGGAGAGGCAAGGGGAAUUCCACGUGUAGCGGUGAAAUGCGUAGAUAUGUGGAGGAACACCUGUGGCGAAGGCGCCUUGCUGGCCAAUUUCUGACGCUGAGGCGCGAAAGCGUGGGGAGCAAACAGG